rnacentral:rRNA from 1 species
AACGAACGCUGGCGGCAUGCCUAACACAUGCAAGUCGAACGAAGGCUUCGGCCUUAGUGGCGCACGGGUGAGUAACGCGUGGGAACCUGCCCUUUGGUACGGAAUAACAUCGGGAAACUGAUGCUAAUACCGUAUAUGGCUUUGGCUGAAAGAUUUAUCGCCGAAGGAGGGGCCCGCGUCUGAUUAGCUAGUUGGUGAGGUAAUGGCUCACCAAGGCGACGAUCAGUAGCUGGUCUGAGAGGAUGAUCAGCCACACUGGGACUGAGACACGGCCCAGACUCCUACGGGAGGCAGCAGUGGGGAAUAUUUGACAAUGGGGGCAACCCUGAUCCAGCAAUGCCGCGUGAGUGAUGAAGGCCUUCGGGUUGUAAAGCUCUUUUGGCAGGGACGAUGAUGACGGUACCUGCAGAAUAAGCCCCGGCUAACUUCGUGCCAGCCGCCGCAGUAACAC